AAUUCUCAACCUUACCAGCUUUUGUUGGUAAUGGCUUGGAUGUGGGGGGUCUUUUGCUGGCUUCGUCGAGAGGUCUGCUCCCCUUAAAUGCAUUAGCCGGUAUCCCGUGUGGACUCGUCUAUUGGUGUGAUAAUUAUCUACGCCGUGGAUGUCUGCUUUAAAUGGGUUGUACUGCUUCUAAUCGUCUAUUCAGUUGGACAAUCAAUGACA
rnacentral:misc_RNA from 1 species